UACGAAGGGGGCUAGCGUUGCUCGGAAUCACUGGGCGUAAAGCGCACGUAGGCGGAUUGCUAAGUCAGGGGUGAAAUCCUGGAGCUCAACUCCAGAACUGCCCUUGAUACUGGCGGUCUCGAGUCCGGGAGAGGUGAGUGGAACUGCGAGUGUAGAGGUGAAAUUCGUAGAUAUUCGGAAGAACACCAGUGGCGAAGGCGGCUCACUGGUCCGGUACUGACGCUGAGGUGCGAAAGCGUGGGGAGCAAACAGG
rnacentral:rRNA from 1 species